rnacentral:rRNA from 1 species
CCAAUAGCGUAUAUUAAAGUUGUUGCAGUUAAAAAGCUCGUAGUUGAAUUUCGGGACUAAUAUGUCGGUCGUACUUUGUACGUACUAGCAUUAUUGGUUUCUCCCUUCUGACGAACCACGAUGUCAUUAAUUUGGUGUCGCGGGAAAUCAGGACUGUUACUUUGAAAAAAUUAGAGUGUUUAAAGCAAGCUCGCGCUUGA